rnacentral:rRNA from 1 species
GGUUAAGCGACUAAGCGUACACGGUGGAUGCCCUGGCAGUCAGAGGCGAUGAAGGGCGUGCUAAUCUGCGAUAAGCGCCGGUAAGGUGAUAUGAACCGUUAUAACCGGCGAUACCCGAAUGGGGAAACCCAGUGUGAUUCGUCACACUAUCAUUAACUGAAUCCAUAGGUUAAUGAGGCGAACCGGGGGAACUGAAACAUCUAAGUACCCCGAGGAAAAGAAAUCAACCGAGAUUCCCCCAGUAGCGGCGAGCGAACGGGGAGGAGCCCAGAGCCUGAAUCAGCAUGUGUGUUAGUGGAAGCGUCUGGAAAGGCGCGCGAUACAGGGUGACAGCCCCGUACACAAAAGCGCAUGUGCUGUGAGCUCGAUGAGUAGGGCGGGACACGUGGUAUCCUGUCUGAAUAUGGGGGGACCAUCCUCCAAGGCUAAAUACUCCUGACUGACCGAUAGUGAACCAGUACCGUGAGGGAAAGGCGAAAAGAACCCCGGCGAGGGGAGUGAAAAAGAACCUGAAACCGUGUACGUACAAGCAGUGGGAGCACAGGUUUACCUGUGUGACUGCGUACCUUUUGUAUAAUGGGUCAGCGACUUAUAUUCUGUAGCAAGGUUAACCGUAUAGGGGAGCCGGAGGGAAACCGAGUCUUAAUUGGGCGUUAAGUUGCAGGGUAUAGACCCGAAACCCGGUGAUCUAGCCAUGGGCAGGUUGAAGGUUGGGUAACACUAACUGGAGGACCGAACCGACUAAUGUUGAAAAAUUAGCGGAUGACCUGUGGCUGGGGGUGAAAGGCCAAUCAAACCGGGAGAUAGCUGGUUCUCCCCGAAAGCUAUUUAGGUAGCGCCUCGUGAAUUCAUCUCCGGGGGUAGAGCACUGUUUCGGCUAGGGGGCCAUCCCGGCUUACCAACCCGAUGCAAACUGCGAAUACCGGAGAAUGUUAUCACGGGAGACACACGGCGGGUGCUAACGUCCGUCGUGAAGAGGGAAACAACCCAGACCGCCAGCUAAGGUCCCAAAGUCAUGGUUAAGUGGGAAACGAUGUGGGAAGGCCCAGACAGCCAGGAUGUUGGCUUAGAAGCAGCCAUCAUUUAAAGAAAGCGUAAUAGCUCACUGGUCGAGUCGGCCUGCGCGGAAGAUGUAACGGGGCUAAACCAUGCACCGAAGCUGCGGCAGCGAACGUAUCACCCAAGACAACUUUACGGAGUUGACGAUUGACGGAGCGAAGCGACGUCAAAGCGUUCAUUAAAGUCGAGUUGGCUUAGGGAUACGUUCGUUGGGUAGGGGAGCGUUCUGUAAGCCUGUGAAGGUGACCUGUGAGGGUUGCUGGAGGUAUCAGAAGUGCGAAUGCUGACAUAAGUAACGAUAAAGCGGGUGAAAAGCCCGCUCGCCGGAAGACCAAGGGUUCCUGUCCAACGUUAAUCGGGGCAGGGUGAGUCGACCCCUAAGGCGAGGCCGAAAGGCGUAGUCGAUGGGAAACGGGUUAAUAUUCCCGUACUUGGUGUUACUGCGAAGGGGGGACGGAGAAGGCUAUGUUGGCCGGGCGACGGUUGUCCCGGUUUAAGCGUGUAGGUGUGUGUUCCAGGUAAAUCCGGUUCACUUUAACACUGAGGCGUGACGACGAGGCACUACGGUGCUGAAGCAACAAAUGCCCUGCUUCCAGGAAAAGCCUCUAAGCAUCAGGUAACACGAAAUCGUACCCCAAACCGACACAGGUGGUCAGGUAGAGAAUACCAAGGCGCUUGAGAGAACUCGGGUGAAGGAACUAGGCAAAAUGGUGCCGUAACUUCGGGAGAAGGCACGCUGACACGUAGGUGAAGUGAUUUACUCAUGGAGCUGAAGUCAGUCGAAGAUACCAGCUGGCUGCAACUGUUUAUUAAAAACACAGCACUGUGCAAACACGAAAGUGGACGUAUACGGUGUGACGCCUGCCCGGUGCCGGAAGGUUAAUUGAUGGGGUCAGCGCAAGCGAAGCUCCUGAUCGAAGCCCCGGUAAACGGCGGCCGUAACUAUAACGGUCCUAAGGUAGCGAAAUUCCUUGUCGGGUAAGUUCCGACCUGCACGAAUGGCGUAAUGAUGGCCAGGCUGUCUCCACCCGAGACUCAGUGAAAUUGAACUCGCUGUGAAGAUGCAGUGUACCCGCGGCAAGACGGAAAGACCCCGUGAACCUUUACUAUAGCUUGACACUGAACAUUGAGCCUUGAUGUGUAGGAUAGGUGGGAGGCUUUGAAGUGUGGACGCCAGUCUGCAUGGAGCCGACCUUGAAAUACCACCCUUUAAUGUUUGAUGUUCUAACGUGGACCCGUAAUCCGGGUUGCGGACAGUGUCUGGUGGGUAGUUUGACUGGGGCGGUCUCCUCCUAAAGAGUAACGGAGGAGCACGAAGGUUGGCUAAUCCUGGUCGGACAUCAGGAGGUUAGUGCAAUGGCAUAAGCCAGCUUGACUGCGAGCGUGACGGCGCGAGCAGGUGCGAAAGCAGGUCAUAGUGAUCCGGUGGUUCUGAAUGGAAGGGCCAUCGCUCAACGGAUAAAAGGUACUCCGGGGAUAACAGGCUGAUACCGCCCAAGAGUUCAUAUCGACGGCGGUGUUUGGCACCUCGAUGUCGGCUCAUCACAUCCUGGGGCUGAAGUAGGUCCCAAGGGUAUGGCUGUUCGCCAUUUAAAGUGGUACGCGAGCUGGGUUUAGAACGUCGUGAGACAGUUCGGUCCCUAUCUGCCGUGGGCGCUGGAGAACUGAGGGGGGCUGCUCCUAGUACGAGAGGACCGGAGUGGACGCAUCACUGGUGUUCGGGUUGUCAUGCCAAUGGCACUGCCCGGUAGCUAAAUGCGGAAGAGAUAAGUGCUGAAAGCAUCUAAGCACGAAACUUGCCCCGAGAUGAGUUCUCCCUGAGACUUAGAGUCUCCUGAAGGAACGUUGAAGACGACGACGUUGAUAGGCCGGGUGUGUAAGCGCAGCGAUGCGUUGAGCUAACCGGUACUAAUGAACCGUGAGGCUUAACCUU